rnacentral:tmRNA from 1 species
GGGGAUGUUUAGAAUCGAUGGUUUUGCUCAUUAAAAACUGGCACGCCGACAUUAAAUAGUUGUCGUUAAACAGAUUUAAAAAAAUAAGUGCUGAUAAACAAGUCAACACAAAUCGAGGUCGAACUUUAGCUGAUAAGGCUAAAGAUGCUGUUAAUUCAGCUUUUGACUUUGGUUUCCGAACACCAGCUUUUGCUCUAGCAGCUUAAUUUGGUUUAGGACAUCUUAGCUCACUUUUCCUGAGGGAGUCGAGCUAGGGUGAAAACAAACUUCAGGUGUAAGACUAGUCUGGUCAGCUAGCCCGAAACUUUUGACCAAACUAGCAAGCUAUGAAUUGCUUGUUAUUCACCUUGCUAGUAUCUUAACAAGCUAUGCGUGUAGAAAGUUUUUAGUAACACAAUCAGACGAGGGUGCAAUUCCCUCCAUCUCCACAA